UACGAAGGGGGCUAGCGUUGUUCGGAAUUACUGGGCGUAAAGCGCGCGCAGGCGGUCUUCCAAGUCAGUGGUGAAAGCCUGGAGCUCAACUCCAGAACUGCCAUUGAAACUGUUAGACUUGAGUACGAGAGAGGUGAGUGGAAAUUCCCAGUGUAGAGGUGAAAAUUCGUAGAUAUUGGGAAGAACACCAGUGGCGAAGGCGGCUCACUGGC
rnacentral:rRNA from 1 species